AUGAGACUUUGGUUGUAUCUCGUUCUCAUUGCAGCAGCGUUUGAAGGUGUCCGGUCCCAGGUGCUGGUGGAGUCCGGAGGGGAUGUGAAAAAGCCCGGAGACUCUCUCCGCCUCUCCUGCAAAGCCUCCGGGUUCACCUUCAGCAGCUACUGGAUGGGCUGGGUCCGUCAGGCUCCCGGGAAGGGACUGGAGUGGCUUGCCUUGAUUCACGGUUCUAGUAUAUACUACAGUGACUCCAUAAAAGGGCGAUUCACCAUCUCCAGAGAUGACCCCAACAGUCUGCUGUACCUGCAAAUGACCGGCCUGAAGCCCGAGGACACUGCCCGCUAUUACUGUGCGAGAGACACAGUUGCAGCCAGAGACAAUCUGCAGCCCUCUGGUGUCUAUGCAGUUACCAGCCAAACCCACCUGAUAAGUUUCCCCUCCAAAACCAGGAAAAAUGAGACUUUGUCUCCAUUUCGUUCUCAUUGUAGCAGCUCUGGAAGUACUGUACAUUACGCCAGCUCGAUCCAAGGCCGAUUCACCAUCUCCAGGGACAAUCCCAACAACCUGCUGUAUCUGCAAAUGAGCGACCUGGAACUCCAGGACACUGCCCUGUAUUACUGUGUGUGA